AGUGUGCUGGAGGUAUCAGAAGUGCGAAUGCUGACAUGAGUAACGAUAAUGUGGGUGAAAAGCCCACACGCCGGAAGUCCCAGGUUUCCUGCACGACGUUAAUCGGAGCAGGGUGAGUCGGCCCCUAAGGCGAGGCUGAAGAGCGUAGUCGAUGGGAACCAGGUUAAUAUUCCUGGACUUUUUAUAAGUGGUGAAGUGGGGACGAAGAAGGCUAGGUGAGCCAGGCGUUGGUUGUCCUGGUACUUGCAUGUAGGGGGGAAGACUUGGCAAAUCCGGUUUUCCAUAACUCUGAGGUGCGAAGUGGUUCUGACCUUUUGGUACAGAGAAGUCAUUGAUGCCCGGCUUCCAGGAAAAGCUGCUAGCCAUAACUUAUAGAGAACCGUACCGCAAACCGACACAGGUGGACAGGUAGAGAAUACUAAGGCGCUUGAGAGAACUCGGGUGAAGGAACUAGGCAAAAUGGUACCGUAACU
rnacentral:rRNA from 1 species